rnacentral:rRNA from 1 species
CCCUUAGAUGUUCUGGGCGGCCCGCGCACUACAAUGGCGUGUGCAGCGAGUGCCGAAGUAGAGUUUUCCGAGGUAUUCUUGCAAUGCUCGUUUUGAUGGGGAUAGACCCUUGCAACUGUUGGUUUUGAACGAGGAAUUCCUUGUAAGCAUGGUUUAUCAUCCGACGCUGAAUGCGUCCCUGCCCUUUGUACACACCGCCCGUCGCUCCUACCGAUGAGUCGUCCGGUGAAGUUCGUAGACCUCGUGAUCGCGGAUCACUGGGGGAAGCAAAAUGAACCUCGCGGUUUAGAGGAAGGAGAAGUCGUAGCA